rnacentral:rRNA from 1 species
GAGUUUGAUCCUGGCUCAGGAGAACGCUGGCGGCGUGCAUAACACAUUCAAGUCGAACGGACUUUAUGGGAUAAUUCUUCGGAAAGCGUCCUGUAAAGUUAGUGGCGGACGGGUGAGUAACGCGUGAGCAACCUGCCUUUGAUAGGGGGAUAACAGAGGGAAACUUCUGCUAAUACCGCAUGAUGCAUGGGGAUCGCAUGGUCUCGAUGCCAAAGGAGCAAUCCGAUCGAAGAUGGGCUCGCGUCCGAUUAGAUAGUUGGUGGGGUAACGGCCUACCAAGUCGACGAUCGGUAGCCGGACUGAGAGGUUGAACGGCCACAUUGGAACUGAGAGACGGUCCAGACUCCUACGGGAGGCAGCAGUGGGGAAUAUUGGGCAAUGGACGAAAGUCUGACCCAGCGACGCCGCGUGAGGGAAGAAGGUCUUCGGAUUGUAAACCUUAGUCAACAGGGAAGAAGAAAGUGACGGUACCUGUGGAGGAAGCCACGGCUAACUACGUGCCAGCAGCCGCGGUAAUACGUAGGUGGCGAGCGUUAUCCGGAUUUACUGGGUGUAAAGGGUGUGUAGGCGGGAAGGCAAGUCAGAUGUGAAAACUAUGGGCUCAACCCAUAGCCUGCAUUUGAAACUGUUUUUCUUGAGAGUCGGAGAGGUAAGUGGAAUUCCCGGUG